CGCACCUGAUGCAGCAACUGAUCACGUCUGUACUGGUCUGUGGAGGAUUGUGUACUUAAACUAAGUAUGGAGUCAUCUGAGGAAUAGUUUGGGCUCAAUGCUGCUGGUGCUACAUGCUUUGAAAACCUUCCCAUUUAAAUGUUUUAUCUAUUUAUUUCAUAAACAGACGUUGGAUCCAAUAGAAACCAGUUGCUAGAUAAUAUACUUUUUGCUUGUUCCAGCACGGACGGUGCUCAGUAAUUAGAUGAUGUCCUGAGGUGAUAUUGAUGACUAGCAAUAUUUUCUCCAAUAAAAGAGACCCAGCCUGUAGCACAAGGCUUAUGAUGUGCUAUAAAGCCUGAAGAUUAUUUAUUUACUCGUAAUAUUUAAUGGCUAACUGCGAUGAAGAACUAAAGAAAAGGCCAACCUUUGCAUAACAAAUGUUUUGGGGAAUAGAUGUGUUUCCUAAUCAAUUUCGUAUCUAAUAUAUUACAAACAAGUUUUGUCAAUAUAUGCAGUUAAUGUGGCCACAUGUGGGAAAAGUCUGUACUGUUGAUACAACCACCAUAUUUUAAAUAAACAAUAAUAGGUACCUCUUUGUGAAUUUUCAAAGUCUUAGAUCUGAGAUAUUAGAAUCUGUCUCUCGCAUUUACGCUUGAUGCACGUUUCCCGUCUACCUGCAGUUUUUCUGUUAGCUUUCAAUCAGACUACUGUGAGGCCACCCUGAAACUAGUUCAUGUUGGAUGCCGAGAUCUGCUUUGGGUCACUUUGCUGUGGUAGAACACAGCCUGUUUCCACUUUCCCUCCCUGACAUUGCAUCCAGUGUUUGCUGAUGUUCAGUGCCGUCCAUUGUUCCCAUGCAUUCGUGCAGUGUUUCUUGUGCCGCUAGCACACAGAUAAUAUUGUUGGUUUUCAUUCCAGUGUGUACCAGUUGGCUUCAAAGUUGUUUUAGUUUUAUAUUUAUCAGUGAUAGUACAUGUAUAACACAUGUGUACCCACUGGGUUGACUCACCCUGAAAGCAUAAUGAAGGAGCCCAGUAAAGCCAGAGUUCCUAUGUAGUCUUUUUAUGUGUAAUCAAUGGGAAUUAUGAGGACCUCAAAUAGGGGCACAAAGCAUUAGGCCCCGGCUUCCUUCCCCUCCCUCGUGUUGGUCAAAGCGUGUCCUGAGGGUAUAUGGUGAUGAGUGAAGAAGGAGGCGGCGGCUCGGUUUCACACGCAGCCCAUUUCAUUUGGGACACAGCAGUGAAAUUUACAGAUGAGGCAUCAUCCCUUUCUUGACUUCAGAUGUGGAGACCAUCCGUCUUGAAACGAUCACUUCACAGUGGUUCCUGCCACUCGCAUGCGUAUUAAUCACACAUGGAUGGAAAGACUCAGUUCUCAUGGGGCCCACAAAGAAGGCUCAGUGUGGGGAUCAAUAUGUAAAUAGUCAAAUGUCCGGUCAUAGCUCUCAGUUCUACUCCUGUCGUUAACUCCCCAACUGCAGCAGAAACAAUUAGUUGAUUAAUUAAAUCCUUCACUUAACUGCUUGACUGCACCAAAAAUGUAAAUAUUCUGCUUCGUAGAUUUAGACAUUCUCUUUCUUUAUGAUAGUAAAAUUGAUUAUUCAUUUUUUUUAUUUUUGCUGGAACUCUUAAUUCUGACUUUACAAAAACGACAGCUUCCUAAGGUCAGAAACAUGGUCAAAGUUUAUUAAUUGAUGAUUAUGACACAAUUGGUUCUCUCCACACUAAAACAUAACUACACACUGUGUUGUUAUAAAGACGCUUGUGAAUGUAGCACUGUUCAUCCUUAAGUAGCCCAAAAACUCAAUUUAAAAACUGGCUCAAUGACAAAAAUAUUUCGUCCCAUUUUUGUAGUUUUGUAUAAAAAGAUUCCAGCUAUAAUUGGUUCAUGAAUGUGACCUUUUAUGUGACGAGCGCUCCAUCAACCAGCUGCCCACGAGAUUGGAGAGAAGCUCUUGAUUUUGAAUAGCGCCUUAUCUAGCCAAGCUAUCUUGCUAGCAUGCUCCUGGUCCUGUCUAGCGAGCGUAAGCUGCAGAUAAUUGCACCCUGUUGCUUCUUUUGCAUCUCCGACUCUGAAAUGCCAGAGCCAGAAAGAAGCAUUAGCCUCAUCCAGCAAGGAUGUGAAAACGAGAUAGCAGGAGAUAAAGCUGAAUGGCCAGAGUGUUUCAAAUGCCUCAUUUGCACUACAUGAGUCAGGCCAUGUUUGGUCACAGUGGGAAUGUCUGGCUUGACCUUAGAGAAAGAAUUCACGCAGGCAUUCACAGUUGAUCACAGAUGACCUCUUUCACAUGUAGCACAAUGGUCUUAUUUUAAUUGCCCAAGCCUCAAACGCAGAGGUUUGACAAAAUCAAAUGUUCCCGUCCUGGGGGGUCUGGGGAAUCAUCUACCCACACAAGAAAGAAAUGAUUGAAUAAUAGAUUGAAUAUUUUAAUCAGCUCAGUGUUAUUAUAGUUAACAAUGUUUACCUGUUGAGCAGUUAAUGGAUUAUAAUAGUUAAGGCAAUCCAGUCGGAGAGGGAGCGAAUGUUUGAAUAGACUUUCGUGCCCAUCUAUCCAGGCGAGAGAUCUUUAUUGCUAUUCCUGGAGCAGCUAGCUCAAAAUCCAUAAAUCCCUAGUUGACUUGACACGCCGGCUACACCAACUAAUUAGCUCCGCGUUUCCAGAGUCAACAAUGUUGGUUGAGCUUUCCAUCAAUCUUUCCAAAAAAAAUGCUCACAUUCCUGCUUCUGUGUGUCAGGGUCGCAGAAAUGGAGCACCUCCUCAUGUCAGAGCUGGACUGGAGUUUGAAUCCGAAGCCUUUCCUCCCGGGUCCUCCGUCAGAUAGUCACAAACAGCGUGUGUGUUUUACUGCACAUCCUUUUGUAACGUUUGUAACGCUAAAGCCUUCAUUUGGAUGAUUCACAACUCAAUUCUUCAUGUUCCGUUCCACUGGCUCAAGCUGCGCUGCCAGAUUUAUUUGACGCCACCGAGGCCUUUCACGUUUCUCCCUGAAGAUAAAUGUGUGGUUCCUGGGCAGCCCACAGUGCUUCAGAACCGUCCCCGGUGACUGAAGAGCAGAGAGCUCCCUCUGUGACCUUCCUUUCUCUACUUGAAACAGCGGUGGCCCAUAGUAUACGUCCGCCGGCCCGAGCUCGACCCCCUCAGAGGGCUGCCACGCCAAAGUUACACAGCUCCUGCGGCGAUUCUGGCACCGCUUCAGAGAGCGGCGUCCAGCGAUGGAGAGGCUUCGACGGGAGGAUGCGUCCAGAGGUCCGGCCUCCUGCCGCUGGGUCCCAGGCUUCACGGUUGCUUAGCGCGGUGGCAGAAAUGGGGACGCUGAGAACAAUAUGAGCGAGUCUUUCAUCAGACAUCUGUCAUCUCGUCUUCUGUUUCACCUUCCGCCUCGGCUUCUUCUUCCUCUUCCUCGUCUGAUGUCACAUCCAGCUCAUCCAUCUGGGAGAUGCACUUUGGACAUGAGCAAACAAACAGCUGGUCAAUAAAGGAGUCCAACUGCUCCCUCUGCUGGGCGGGAAGCUCAAGUGCAUCGCAGGCGUGCACCCACUGACUCAGCGAGCUGGAAUUGAUGGAUCACAAGUUUGUUCCCAGCAAAGACCAAAGUUGCACCUACUGAAAGCUGAAGAGGAAUGCGCCUACCUGGUACCGAUGCCUUGGCCGUUUGUCCCCACCAGAGCAAACAGGGAGCGAAAACCCUCAGGAACGAACCACUGCAAUACAAUCACACCAAGCUCUCAUUUCUUCUGUGUAACUUAAUUCCUGUAAUGCGUGUAUGCUAUGAGUGAAUAAUAUAUUUCACAUCAGCUCCUGGAACAUUAAUAUUAUAGCAUUAUUUUGACAUGAUGUCUCAAUCAACAAAUGCAAUAAUUCUUAGUAGUUUUAUAGAUAUAAAGAUAUUUAAGUGACUAUAGUAACAUUUAGGAGACAAAGUUGAAACUAAUCAGAACUUUCUGAGCUGCUGAUGUCUGGUGUAUUGCAGCAUUUGUAAAAAGGAACUGACUAAAUAAGAAUAAUUAAACUUGCAGCAUAAUAAAAACACUGGCUGAAUUUGAGUCAAACUUACCCGACUCAGGUGGUCGUCAUAAAGUGCUGCUGUAAACAGACUGUGUAACAAAGCCAGCUGCCCCUGAAGAAGCACCACGACAUAAACCCAGGUUACGUUUCCGAUACAGGAGCCUCAGAACUGAGCACGUCAGGUCUGGGUUGUAGGAGGACGAUAUGAUGAACCACGGUCACUUACUCUGAACUGCUCUCCAAGGAGUUUGUGAGCGAUCUCCUCCUCUUCGUUAGCUGUUCGGCUGCAGAAGUGGGAAAACAGCUUCUGCCAGUGGGCUUUGUCUUUAGCCUGGACAGAGUGACAGAAACCAUUGUCUUUGAUACACACACACGCUCACACCAGUUUACCACAUUCUAAAUCUUUUUCACAGUCAGCCUGAUUUCUAUUAGUGAGGGCGGAGUUAUUGUAGGCUUGAACCCAUUAAAGUUUAAUUAUCCAUAAAAUAACUCAGUGGGCGAGAAGCAGGAAAAAUCUAGUCAUAUUCAGCAGUGUUUUUUUCUAUGUAUAACUGUAAAAUAUAACCCACCGCAGAAUGAAGUGAAGAAAGGAUCAUUUAGAACCGACUGCUUGAUCGGACCCUCACCUGUUUGACCAUGGCUACCAUUCUGGCCAUGAGCAUGAUGCUGGAGGUCUCUGGGGGAUAAUGCAUAGUCCUGAUGGGAAGACAGAAACUCUCAGCAGUGUGUUUAGAAGGGAACCCACACAUCUGUCUGCAACACACUGUGGCCACUGACUGUACAGUGUAUUUACGAUGCUCCCUGACCUCCAAGCAUCUUUGAGCUUGUUGAUGGGAUGGUCCGGACCUUCCUGCGAGGGACCCAAACACAGAAUGCGAUGGUACUGAUCGGCUGCUGCUUGCCGACACUCGAUGCUGCAGUACAUCACCUGCGGAGGAUUUCGUUAAAUACCAACGAUAUUUUAAGUAACUGGUGCACGAACACUCAAUAUCUUCUCUGUGGCUACUUCACAUCAAAGAAGAAACCACAGGUCGUUGCUCGGCAACAUCUUUUAUGUGACAUGGAUGUAAACAGGAAAUUAUUCACAAGGCUGUUAUUUUUUUCAGAUGUGAUUUGUAUCCAAGGUGACAUUAAUACCUCAAGACAAUUAUUAAAUGCAUUAUUCAGAACAGUUGACUGUUAGAAUGUGUUUAUAAAAUAUUGUUGUUAAUCAACCAAUAUUUGGUCAGUUAUGAUGAAAUCUAACAAUUGUAUUUCCUUCAAGUGUUAUUAGCUUUUGUAUGAGCCAGACACAGACACAUGAUACCACAAACACAAAGGCUGAAUAUGAAAUAAUGAAAGAAUAAAAUAAACUGUUCUCAGUUUUCA